CCCAUCCCACCCUCGUCUCCCACACCGCCGCCGCCUCUCCCUCCCAAAGCUUACCCGCCGCCGCGCCGCCCACCGACCGCCGCGACCCCGCCCCACCUCGUCCCUCUCAAACCCUACACGCCACCGCGCCGCCCACCGACUGUCGCUGCCCCCGCCCCGCCUCGUCCCUCCCAAACCCUACCCGCCGCCGCGCCGCCCACCGACCGCUGCGGCCCCCGCCCCGCCUCGCCCCUCCCUCCCACCGACGAGGAAAAGAGGCACACCACGAGCAGCUACACCACCGGGCGCUGCUCCGUUGUUGUGUGUGGGUAACCGGUGGCCCGCGUCGGUGGAGCAGGGAGGAGAUGGAGGGUCCCGCGGCGGCCGCUCAUGGGGGAGGUCUGGGGCUUGUACGCCCCCGUCGUGGCUGCUUUGGAGCAGCACCGGCAUCCGGCGUCGGCCACGCGAGGAGAGGCGCGUGCUCGCAGGGGGAGGCGCCGGAUCUCACGGGGCAAGUGCGCCAGCGACCUGAGGUAGAGGUGACGAUUACAAGAUCAAGGUGUGGAACUACAAAGCAAGCUACAACAAAUGGCUGCUCGUCCCCUCCUCCCUCUGUGAGAAGGACGACUUGGGCAUCCCUGGGCAUCUCAACCACAUGAAGAAAAUGUUCAUGGAUUACAAGUUUAUAACUAGAAGUAGGUACUGGUUCAUGGAUUACAUGUUUUCUCUUCUUUUGCAAAUCAACAUGAGUUUUUGUCGUUGUUGCAAUCAAGAGUUCAAAUAUGUCACAAAAAGAAAAGCUUUGAUGUUGGCUGCAGUGGAUGGAUAUCAAUGGCAUGAUGUCAUGGACGGUGGCGUCCUUCCUCAGGUAGUCUGGCCUACACUGACAAGUGGCUGGUGUGCCCUGGGCGCACCUUCCUUCUAGCAUAAGUUGCAUAACAUGUGUUCAAUGCGACGCGAGUACUACACAGGGUCUCUCUUGCUGGUCUGACUCUGCCGCUUCCUCUUAGCUGUAAGACAAUCAUUGAAAAUCCACUCGGUUGUGGACUAAUAAGAGUAAGCAAUACAUAUGCUCUAGUUGUCAUGUUGUGCUCGUUGUUCCAUAUUUUGUUGAUCCACUAAUUGCUGAUCAGCUAAUGAGAAUUGUAGUUAGUUUUUUGAAUGAUUUGGUGUGCAUGUGAUCAGUAUCAUUUGCAUAGUAUUUCAAAGGACAUUUUUAUGUAGUUUCAUCUCAGUUAUGAUAUUGAUUACUGGUCCUUCAUGCACUUAAGCAAUAUAUUUCAUAAUUAUUAUUGCUCAACAACCAUUAUACAACAUGUCUCUUUUUCAUGCAGAUUUGGUGCGCAAAGGCACAAUUUUCUUCUAGGGCUUCAUCUGCAAAUCCACAAAAGUAUGAAAGGAUCAACUUGUCGAAGUGGUAGAAGAAGCUAGGGGGAAAGAGAAAAUGAAUCAGAUCUCACCUGCAGGGAGAGAGGACUUACGCAACCAACCAGUUGCCAUCGGAGGCUUGUCUAAUUCCUUGCGUGAUGCCUUCCUGUUGCUCCAACAACGACGCCGUUCGCCGCGGCUCUCUGAUGGCCGCCGCAGAUAUUCUCCAACAACCGCCGCUGUUCUGACCGUGACGCCUCCUCGACGACUUGCCGCUGAUCUCUGAGGAUCAGCCGCUGCUUUUUUUCAACAACGGGGUUGCUGCUGAUUCUCUCAAGCCCGGAACUGUGACCAGAGAGAAGAACAAUGAAGAUCCAGGGAACUCCCCUUUCUUUACUCUUCCUUGUCUCCGUGAUGUCUUGUUUCUCUCUUGAAUGCCUAGGAUCACAUAUCUAGUAGAAUCAAGUUGUUCUCGCUUAAAUUCAAUCACUUACCAUGCGACACUGAUUUUUUGUUAAUACAUUGUCCAAGUCAUAAAUUUCCUGAACUAGUGCAUGUAUAUAUUUGGGUGCUAGUCAAUUAGAGAAUGUCCGUGAUACCAUGUUUGUACUACGUGCUAGUGUAGCUGUAUUGAUGCAAAUACUGCUUGUGUCCUUAUGAAUUAGUAAAUAGCCUUUCAUGUCAUUCUCCAAGUUUGCACAUAGCAUUGUUAUUUUAGGAGCAGAUUUCUCAUCCUUGUUUGGAUAAGAAACCUGAACUUGCUUAAUAGCCAAUUUAGUUGUGUAUUACCAGUUCAAGUUGUUUUGUAUAUAUCAUGUUCUGUUUUGCUACCGGACACCUUCAACUUAAAUGCUGAAUUGCCUUGUACACAUAAUUGUAUGUAAUCUAAGGGAAAGCCCUUAAUAGUCAGCUGACCUUAUGAACUGUAUAAAUGUAUAAAAAUCUUGUGUUGUUAAACCGAGCUUAUAGACAAUUGGCAACCUCUUAUUGUAGUAGCUGGACCUUCUUCCACCAUCCCUCUAAUAAAGGAUAAAUCAUGAUGCUUCUGCUGUCAUAACUUGUUUUCUUGUUUACCAUCCAGGUACAAUGGGACCAAGCUCAACCUCCUCAUCCGUAGCUACUACACGACUGCCAUCCUGUAUAUUCCCUCCAGUUCAUGGAGCAUAUGAACCUCUUACUGUAGUAGCUGGUGAAUGAAGUUUCCAAAUGUUGAAGGAGGAGGACAAUAGGAACUUCUGUUAUGUCUUAUGAAGUUUUCAAAUGUUGAUGGAGGAUAAUAGGAAUUUCUGUUAUGUCUUGUCGUCUAAAUUUCUGUUCUAGUUUUCUUUGUCGUAGAAUAGUUUUGUUUGGUACUUAAUGUUCUUGGGAUGUAAAAAUAUGUAUUGCUGGAAUGAAUGGUUGUAAUAUAAUAACAUUGCACGUUGCUUUGAAAA